rnacentral:rRNA from 1 species
GAUGAACGCUGGCGGCGUGCCUAAUACAUGCAAGUCGAGCGAAGCGGGGACGGGUGUGUAACACGUGGACAAGCUCCUAUAAGACUGGGAUCACUUCCGGUAACCGGAGCUAAACCGGGAUCUUAUAGAUGGAUCGGCGCUGCAUUAGCUAGUUGGUAAGGUAACGGCUUACCAAGGCAACGAUGCAUAGCCGAUCUGAGAGGGUGGUCGGCCACACUGGACCUGAAACACGGUCCAGACUCCUACGCGAGGCAGCACUAGGGAAUCUUCCGCGAUGGGCGAAAGCCUUACGGAGCCCCGCCGCGUGAGUGAUGAAGGUCUUCGGGUCGUAAAUCUCUGUUAUUAGGGAAGCGGUACCUACUCAGAAAGCCCCGGCUAACUACGUGCCAGCAGCCGCGGUAAUUC